UACGAAGGGGGCUAGCGUUGUUCGGAAUUACUGGGCGUAAAGCGCACGUAGGCGGCUAUUUAAGUCAGGGGUGAAAUCCCAGAGCUCAACUCUGGAACUGCCUUUGAUACUGGGUAUCUUGAGUAUGGAAGAGGUAAGUGGAAUUGCGAGUGUAGAGGUGAAAUUCGUAGAUAUUCGCAGGAACACCAGUGGCGAAGGCGGCUUACUGGUCCAUUACUGACGCUGAGGUGCGAAAGCGUGGGGAGCAAACAGG
rnacentral:rRNA from 1 species